rnacentral:rRNA from 1 species
UAGGGAAUCUUCCACAAUGGACGAAAGUCUGAUGGAGCAACGCCGCGUGAGUGAAGAAGGGUUUCGGCUCGUAAAACUCUGUUGUUAAAGAAGAACAUAUCUGAGAGUAACUGUUCAGGUAUUGACGGUAUUUAACCAGAAAGCCCACGGCUAACUACGUGCCACCAG